AAACCAACAGGGAUUGCCUUAGUAACGGCGAGUGAAGCGGCAAAAGCUCAAUUUGAAAUCGCUUCGGCGAGUUGUAAGUAAAGUGGUUAGACGCUUUUUAAUAAGUCCCUUGGAACAGGGCGCCAUAGAGGGUGAUAGCCCCGUAUUAAAUUGUCUAGUGUGCUACUUUAGAGCGAGUCGAGUUGUUUGGGAAUGCAGCUCAAAUAGGUGGUAAACUCCAUCUAAAGCUAAAUAUUGCUGGGAGACCGAUAGCGAACAAGUACAGUGAUGGAAAGAUGAAAAGCACUUUGAAAAGAGAGUGAAAUAGCGUGUGAAAUUGUUGGAGGGGAAGGCGAUGGUAGGAAUAAGAGGCUGCGGUUUGAAAUAAAUGUUUUUCGGGCCACGGUCUCCUGAGCCUGCUUUCGCACCCGU
rnacentral:rRNA from 1 species